CCACAGAGAGUCGUCCUGCACACACCGUACCGGCGGCCGCCUCAGAUUUGGACGACGCCGGCAGGGUUCGUCAUCGAUCUCUAGACUCUACUACUAUAUAUAUAGCAACACUGCACGACGCUAGAUUGCUAGCUAGAUAGGCGAUAGAUAUUAUAUAUCUCGCUAGCUAUUGGCAGUGGCACUGGUUUGUGGUCACUAGCUAGUAUAUAGUAGGACCCACAGCGAUCCAUCGGCGGGAUCGGGUCCGUGUUCUUGGUGCAAGGAUGGCGCGGCGGAUCGCCGGAGUGGCGGCUCUGAACCUGCUCUCCGUGCUCAUGGCGGCGACCUGCGCCGCCGGCCGCGACUUCUACGUCGGCGGCCGCGCCGGCUGGGCACCCAACCCCGCCGAGCCCUUCAACGCCUGGGCGGAGCGCAACCGGUUCCAGGUCAACGACACCCUCGUGUUCAGGUACAGCAAGGACGCGGACGCCGUGCUGCUGGUGAGCCAGGGCCACUACGACGCCUGCAACGCCGCGCAGCCAGCCCAACGGCUCGACGGCGGCGACUCCCGCUUCGUGUUCGACCACUCCGGGCCCUACUACUUCAUCAGCCCCGACGCGGCGCGGUGCAGGGCCGGCGAGCGGCUCGUCGUCGUCGUCCUCGCCGUCCGCGGCGACGGCGACGGCGACGGCACGCCCUCUUCCUCGCCGCCUCCCGUCGCCACACCUGCUCCGAGUGCCCUGCCUACACCGCCGCCGCCGCCCCAUCAUGUUCCGGGCAAGAACGCCUCGUCGCCGUCGCAGGGGCCGGCGCCGUCACCCGCCCUCGCGCCUGCGCCUGCGCCUGACGCGAACGGGACGUCUUCGUCACCGCCGUCGCCGUCGUCCGCCGUAGCAGCCUUCAGGGGUGGCUUCCUGCUGGCGUGCCUGCUAUCCGUAACCGCUGGAGCAGCAAUUAUUCUCGUCUGAUGUGGCAACGUCGUCGUCGUCCGUGGCUAAACUUGCAUCGAUCGUGUUGAUUUCCGUCUAGUUCGUGACUUAGAUUUGCUUCUAAGUUGUAGGGAUCGGUCAAAAUAAUUUCCUGUUUGUUUGUUUGGGUCGAUCUUCUACUAGAAUCCUUCAAAGUGGAACAUGUAAAUCUUUGUUAGAAGGAAGGGAUCUCCAACUUUAAUU